GAAGAAGACGGCUCUCAAAGCACAGCCGUUUGCUUGUUUCUUCUGAUAUUUCGUGGCUUAUUUCACUCGGUAGAAGUCUUUAUAGGACGAGAGGUGGUUCCUUCAAGUGGCUUUGGGGAGGUUCAUGUUGGACAUGAGGAAACGUUUCUUUUCAGAAAGAGUGAUAGGGCACUGCACAGGGAAGUAGGUGGUGGAGUCACCGUCCCUGGAGGUGUUCGAGAGCCGUGUAGACGUGGCACUGACAGACAUGGUUAGUGGGCAUGGUGGGGAUAGGCUGACAGCUGAUCUGGGUAAUCUGACAGGUCUUUUCCAACCUUGAUUCAAAGUCUGUGAAGGUCAAAUCUCGAUGUCUACAUAGUAUUCAUGCACAGCAGUGUGUGUGGUAUGAAGGCAGGAGCUGACUUGUCCUCUCUCACGUAACACGUUUCUCUGUGGUAGGAUCAUCACCUGGGCUGCAGAGCAGCUGUGAUAUGAGUAAGGACUUCAGCAGGCUCAGGCAUGGAGAAGAUGCAUCUAUGUGCUGCAAAGCUGCUUUUCAUACUCACUGCAAGUCUUGUUAAUGCCUGACCGACUUGUGGGAAUGCCUCCUUAGAGCAGUCAGAAUGCUUCCCACCGAUCUCAGAGGGUAUACACUUACACUUCCCUUUUUCUCACUGUAGCUGAAAUACUGUUUUGUUGAUAUAUUUUUUUUCUUCUACAAGAGCUGCUCUGAAAGUAAUGCCUCCUAUUUCAUUAUGUUGGCUCACGCUGUCAGGGGCAGAUGGUGGUAUGGCAGCAAAGGUUGAACCUUCCCACCAACAUUCCCUUAUAUGUUGUUGCCGUGAGACAGAUGGCAGCAGAGGGGCAGUCUGACGCAAUAACAUCUGACAUGGGAGUGCAGAUGAAGCAAAGGUGUGUCACUGAAUUCCUCCACUUGGAAAAAAAAGGCCCCCACUGACCUUCUCUGACCAUCACUGACACUUGAACAUUUCUGGAGACCAAACAGUGGGUGUGAGCUCAGCGAGGCAGUGGGUGGUGCAUUUCAGCACUGGUGACAGCAACAGUGGUCACCUCAAGUGGAGAUUAUGACAGAUGCAUUCUUGUUUAUUGCUGGUGAAAAUGCACAGCUAAUCGUAGUGCCUGUGUUGAAAAAUACUGGUUUUUAGCCAAGAAUUUUCUCUGUCAAAUAGUGCUAUUAUGCUCCUUGUAUCUGUUGUAGUUUCCAUGGAAAUAAACAGGAGAUACUAUUUUCAGAGUGUCCCACAUAAUAAGAGUGAUAAGAAGUAUGGUUAUCAUAGAGCCAGAUGUGGAAAGGCACUAUAUAGCACCAAUGUACAGUUCUGAAUUUGAUUUUUGUGCCAGUAUUGGCACUGUGUCCGUUAAACUGAUUUUCUCUUUUCUCGGCUGCUUUGAAAUGAGCUAUAUCAACCGUGAGACAGUACAAUGAGGGACAGGCACAAUGACCAAAGGCUUUAGCAAACAAGUAAAGCCACGGAUUUCCUUAAGCCAACAUCAGAGGAUGCUGUGAAGCUGCUGAAGCUCUGCAAAUAAGAAGGAAAAGAGACCUUUGGGUUCGACUCUUUUCUGCCCCCAGCUGUGGAGGACGGGAUCCUUUCAAGAUUCCAGGAUGAACCAGGAGACCUGAACCUCUAGCAGCAGGAGUGAAGGAAGUGUCCUUUGCAGUAGAGAUCUGAGGCUGAGAGAGGACAUGGGCUGUGGUAAGACUGCUUAGUUCAGCUGCACUAAGCAGCUCUUUACACCAUCCACACAGGGCUGUGAUACCUCACUUUCUUCUUGAAUUACAUACAGUGGAUUUACUUAAACAUUUUCAUGAUAACCAGUGUGCAUAAUGUCCACUUCAUGUUGUGGUAAAGCUCUGCUCUUUUAGUGGGAUUCUUGGACACAACUAUAUUAGAAAAAAAUGCUGAUGCCAAAAUAAAAGAAAUAUAAAAUGCA